rnacentral:tRNA from 1 species
GCCUGGGUGGCUAUGUUGGUUAAGCGUCCGAUUUUGGCUCAGGUCAUGAUCUCGCUGUUUGUGAGUUCGAGCCUCACGUCAGGCU